rnacentral:rRNA from 1 species
AUUGAACGCUGGCGGCAGGCCUAACACAUGCAAGUCGAGCGGAUGACGGGAGCUUGCUCCUUGAUUCAGCGGCGGACGGGUGAGUAAUGCCUAGGAAUCUGCCUAUUAGUGGGGGACAACAUUCCGAAAGGAAUGCUAAUACCGCAUACGUCCUACGGGAGAAAGCAGGGGAUCUUCGGACCUUGCGCUAAUAGAUGAGCCUAAGUCGGAUUAGCUAGUUGGUGGGGUAAAGGCCUACCAAGGCGACGAUCUGUAGCGGGUCUGAGAGGAUGAUCCGCCACACUGGGACUGAGACACGGCCCAGACUCCUACGGGAGGCAGCAGUGGGGAAUAUUGGACAAUGGGGGGAACCCUGAUCCAGCCAUGCCGCGUGUGUGAAGAAGGCCUUAUGGUUGUAAAGCACUUUAAGCGAGGAGGAGGCUACUGAGACUAAUACUCUUGGAUAGUGGACGUUACUCGCAGAAUAAGCACCGGCUAACUCUGUGCCAGCCGCCGCCGUAAAAC